rnacentral:rRNA from 1 species
GUCGAGGGGCAGCGCAGUGUAGCAAUACAUGGGGCGGCGACCGGCAAACGGGUGCGGAANNNNNNCACAACCUUCCUUUAAAUGGGGAAUAGCCCAGGGAAACUUGGAUUAAUACCCCGUAACAUUAUGAAGUGGCAUCACUUUAUAAUUAUAGCUACGGCGUUUAAAGAUGGGUGUGCGGCUGAUUAGGUAGUUGGCGGGGUAACGGCCCACCAAGCCUUCGAUCAGUAACUGGUGUGAGAGCACGACCAGUCACACGAGCACUGAGACACGGGCCCGACUCCUACGGGAGGCAGCAGUAAGGAAUAUUGGGCAAUGGACGCAAGUCUGACCCAGCCAUGCCGCGUGGAGGAUGAAGGUCCUCUGGAUUGUAAACUUCUUUUCUCUGGGGCGAAAAAUAGGUAUUCUUACUUACUUGACAGUACCAGAGGAAUAAGCACCGGCUAACUCCGUGCCANNNNNNGCG